UACAGAGGGCGCAAGCGUUGUUCGGAUUCACUGGGCGUAAAGGGCGUGUAGGCGGCCCCGUAAGGCCGGUGUGAAAUCUCGGGGCUUAACUCCGAAACUGCAUUCGAUACUGCCGGGCUUGAGGGCUGGAGGGGAGACUGGAAUUUACGGUGUAGCGGUGAAAUGCGUAGAUAUCGUGAGGAAGACCAGUGGCGAAGGCGGGUCUCUGGACAGUUCCUGACGCUGAGGCACGAAAGCGUGGGGAGCGAACGGG
rnacentral:rRNA from 1 species